UACGUAGGGUGCGAGCGUUGUCCGGAAUUAUUGGGCGUAAAGGGCUCGUAGGCGGUUUGUCGCGUCGGGAGUGAAAAUCCAGGGCUUAACUCUGGACUGGCUUUCGAUACGGGCAGACUAGAGGUAUGCAGGGGAGAACGGAAUUCCUGGUGUAGCGGUGAAAUGCGCAGAUAUCAGGAGGAACACCGGUGGCGAAGGCGGUUCUCUGGGCCGAUACUGACGCUGAGGAGCGAAAGCGUGGGGAGCGAACAGG
rnacentral:rRNA from 1 species